rnacentral:rRNA from 1 species
GUGGGGAAUUUUGGACAAUGGGCGCAAGCCUGAUCCAGCAAUGCCGCGUGCAGGAUGAAGGCCUUCGGGUUGUAAACUGCUUUUGUACGGAACGAAAAGCCCUGGGUUAAUACCCUGGGGUCAUGACGGUACCGUAAGAAUAAGCACCGGCUAACUACGUGCCAGCAGCCGCGGUAAUACGUAGGGUGCGAGCGUUAAUCGGAAUUACUGGGCGUAAAGCGUGCGCAGGCGGUUUUGUAAGACAGAGGUGAAAUCCCCGGGCUCAACCUGGGAACUGCCUUUGUGACUGCAAGGCUAGAGUACGGCAGAGGGGGAUGGAAUUCCGCGUGUAGCAGUGAAAUGCGUAGAUAUGCGGAGGAACACCGAUGGCGAAGGCAAUCCCCUGGGCCUGUACUGACGCUCAUGCACGAAAGCGUGGGGAGCAAACAGGAUUAGAUACCCCUGUAGUCC